rnacentral:lncRNA from 1 species
UAUUUGAUGAUGACAACUGACUGUUCACCAUCUUAUUUUAAAAGAGCAGAGAAACAGGAAAUGUGUAACAAGGAGAUGUGAAUACCAAACCCCCCUGAAGGAAGGAACUUUAUUCAACAGUAAAAUUGUUUCACCCUCUUUACAAGGUGAUUUUAUAGAUUUGGCAUUUGUCCAAGUGUUCAGAAUAUAUCAUAGUUUCUUUUGGCCUAACUUGACUUUAGGAAAAAAUGAAAAUAUAAUUCCUAUAAAGGGAAACCCAAAAGCUGGUUUUCUUGAUAAUCCACAACGAUCCCGACGUACUGACAUAACAUACAGGAUCUAUGAAGUCCCCAGAGGCAGAAGUCAGUCAAAUUUGCAUAUGGGCACUCAAUUAAUGUUGACAAAUGUGCAUCUCGCCUUUUGUCGUUCUUCCUGGGGGAGAAUCGCAUGGCUGGAAUCCCUCAUUGAACUGCCAUAAAUUUAGGGUUCUGAGUUAUGUUUUUAAGUGACAACUUUAAAUCAAUAAACAAACUGCAUUAUUAACAAGUCAUGUCCUAGAAACAAUAGGGUCAGUAGGAAUUUGCCCAAUUUCUGGCACUCAGUACAUGCUAAAGAAAUAUUUGCAGAUUAAAUGCAUGGAGAACUAAAUAAGUAGACUGGAGUAGUUGGGGAAGAUCUUACAUAGGAAGUGGAGCUUGAACCAGACCAAGAAGGAUACUGAUGGAAGAAGGAUGCUGAUGACAGGCAGAAAGGUACCAAUAUUGAACUAAGUCCCUUUUCUAGUGCUAAUCAUGUCAGCUGGUAACAAGAACUUUCCCUUAAGACCUUUUGAUGAGAGGAAGCCAAUACCUCAUACUGUCCCUACCUCAGUCUUCCAAUUUCUUAAAGGCCCUCUCAGUUUGUGCAGUUGGUCUGUAACCCAAGAAAAGACAAUAAAUCAUUUAACCAUAUAUUAUAAGAUUACAUAGCAAUAAUUCCAUUUUCACAGACUGAAUGAAAGCAAUCCUAUCACCGCACUCUACCUGAAAUCAAUUCUGGUGCCUGGUAUUUGUAAUGUUCUACUUCCAAUGACUAAUGUCUGCUUUUUCAGGAAUAUCUACAUAGGUAACAAAAACUGAACACAGACUAGCUUACACCAAAAGAGGUGUAUUGUCCCAUUUAACCGUAUGCGCUCAUAGAAACAAGAGGACAGCUAAGAAAACAAGGGCAGCCCUGACACCAUCAAGAACUAAAACAAGGAGUUGACACUGAUACGGCCCUUUCCUUAUUCAUCCAUCUCUCACUUCUAAUUGUCGUAGACUUCAUUCUCUCUUGCUAUAGACAAUGAUUCCUUCUAAGGAAAGAAAACCAAACCUCUGCUCAUGUUCUCUUUCUGGUCCAUAAACUCAGAGGCAGGGCCCCUUCUCUCUCCAGUUCAACCAGGCAUUAUGGACACUACAAGAAAGAUAUGGAAAUUGAUGGUCUCAGCCACAUGUCCAUCCCAAUGGCUAGCAAGGCUGGGUGCUGUGAUAAGAAGCCCCCCUUGAAUCACAGAAUAUAGUGGGAGAACUUUUCCCAGAAAAGAGAGCAUCAGUGCAGGCCAACCCCUCACCGAAGAUCCACAACUCUCUACUGAGCUGGACAGAGCAGGCACAUACAACAUGUACACCUAAUGUCCACAAUUUCAAUAUCUGACACAUUUAGCUUUAUGGAACUCCCAGUUUCCUAUUUAUCUGUCUCUAAAGACUCAUAGCCCUAAGUGAAGUAAGCCAGCCAGAGAAAGACAAAUUACAUAUGAUAUUACUUAUAUAUGGUAUCUAAAAAAAUGAUACAAAUGAAAUUAUUUACAAAACAGAAAUAGACUCACAAACUUCAAAAACAAAGUUAUGGUUAUCAAAGGGGAUAGGUGAGGGGAGGAAUGGAUUAGGGGUUUGUGAUUGGCAUAUGCACACUAUUGUAUAUGCCAAGGAUGGUCAGCACGGACUUGCUAUAUAGCACAGGAAACUCUACCGAAUAUUCUGUGAUAAUCUAUAUGAGAAAAGAAUAUGGAAAAAAAGGAUAUGUGCAUAUGUAUAACUGAAUCACUUUAUUACAGAAGUUAUUGCAACAUUGUAAACCAACUAUAAUUCAAUGAAACUUAAAAAAAAAGAGAGAGAGAGACAGAGAAGGAAGAGCAAAAAAUGAAUUUUAAAAUAACCAUGUGGGGGGCUAACAAAUAAAGAAGAGAAGCCGUGAGAAGUAAUGACCUUUCCUUGCUAAGAUAAACUUCCUGCCAGCAUUCUAUUUGGAGGACUGAAACAUGAGCAAACUAAUGGCAUGCAUAAAACCUGUCUCUUUGAAUGGGAAGAUGAUAACUGCAGACUGGCAGACUGGCACUUUUGGGCAAUCCUCCUGGCUCAAAAUGCCCCACAAUGUAUAAGUAAGGCAAGCAAGAGAGUUAGCCCUAGUUAAAAAGCUGCCACAAUCCAUUUGUCUAAACUCUGAGGGUCAGUUGGAGGCUAUAUAGGGGCAUUAAGUGGGGUGGAUGUGCUUGGUGGGAUCUAGAGUGGAACCAAAGAAGGGAGAUUCCCACAACUUCAGAAGCCUGAAGGUGUUUAGAAGCCUGAAGACAGUGUUGUGCCCUUAUACCUGGGGGGGAGGACAAGGUAGAAAUUACACGGCUCCUGUUGGCCUCUCAUUUUGUGUGUGACUCCCUCAGCACCCAUCUACCUUGUUCUCUCUCUUUCCAUACAGACAAUCUCCUGCCUCACUUCAGCAGAGGCAUUCCAGAGAAUAGGCAGGGGAGGCCAGGGAAUUAACAUAAAAUUAGUCUGAAAUCAGUAACACUUCUCAGGUGACUGACACUAACAUAGUAAAACCUUGUCUGUGAAGAUAUAUCCUGAACUCUCCUCGCAUGGGGCUUUCUAUAGAAAAAUACCCUCCAAAAUGAGCUCAAAAUCCCAAAUUUCAAAAUAAAUGAGUUAACAAUCUGCCAUGAGUAAGUCAGCAGAAAUAGAAUCAGAGCUCUUCAAACUUCACAUAACUUAAAUAUCAAAUAUAUAUUCAAAAUAAGUAUUUUCGAACAAUU